rnacentral:rRNA from 1 species
UACGUAGGGUGCAAGCGUUGUCCGGAAUUAUUGGGCGUAAAGAGCUCGUAGGCGGUUUGUCGCGUCUGCUGUGAAAACUCGGGGCUUAACCCCGGGCCUGCAGUGGGUACGGGCAGACUAGAGUGCGGUAGGGGAGACUGGAAUUCCUGGUGUAGCGGUGAAAUGCGUAGAUAUCGGGAGGAACAUCAGUGGCGAAGGCGGCUGCCUGGCCCAAUACUGACACUCAGGUGCGACAGCGUGGGGAGCAAACAGG